AUUGAACGCUGGCGGCAGGCCUAACACAUGCAAGUCGAGCGGAUGAAGGGAGCUUGCUCCUGGAUUCAGCGGCGGACGGGUGAGUAAUGCCUAGGAAUCUGCCUGGUAGUGGGGGAUAACGUCCGGAAACGGGCGCUAAUACCGCAUACGUCCUGAGGGAGAAAGUGGGGGAUCUUCGGACCUCACGCUAUCAGAUGAGCCUAGGUCGGAUUAGCUAGUUGGUGGGGUAAAGGCCUACCAAGGCGACGAUCCGUAACUGGUCUGAGAGGAUGAUCAGUCACACUGGAACUGAGAAACGGUCCAGACUCCUACGGGAGGCAGCAGUGGGGAAUAUUGGACCAUGGGCGAAAGCCUGAUCCAGCCAUGCCGCGUGGGUGAAGAAGGGUUUCGGAUUUUAAAGCACUUUAAGUUGGGAGGAAGGGCAGUAAGUUAAUACCUUGCUGUUUUGACGUUACCAACAGAAUAAGCACCGGCUAACUUCGUG
rnacentral:rRNA from 1 species